rnacentral:lncRNA from 1 species
ACCAGCCCAACUACCCCUCCCCACCUACCUCACCAGCCAACUACCCCCUCCUCACCUACCACAGCCCAAUAUCCCCCUCACCAGCCCAACUACCCCCUCCUCACCACCUCACCAAGCCCAACUACCACCCCCCCCUCACUACCCUACCGAUUCCCUCCUCACCAGCCCAACUUCCCCCUCCUCACCUACCCUACCAGCCCAACUGAUUCCCUCCUCACCAGCCCAACUACCCCCCCUCACCAUACUCACCCCAACUACCCCUCCUCACCUACCUCACCAGCCCAACUACCCCCUCCUCACCUACCUCACCAGCCCAACUACCCCUCCUCACCUACCUCACCAGCCCAACUACCCCCUCCUCACCUACCUCACCAGCCCACUUACCCCCCCUCACCAGCCCAACUUACCCCCUCCCACCUACCCUACCAGCCCAACUGAUCCCUCCUCACCAGCCCAACUUACCCCCUUUCACCAGCCCAACUUACCCCCUCCCCCCCCCACCACCCUACCAGCCCAACUUAACCCCCUCCUCCCCAGCCCAACUUACCCUCCUCACCUACCUCACCAGCCCAACUUACCCCCUCCCACCAGCCCAACUUACCCCCUCCUCACCUACCUCACCAGCCCAACUUACCCCCCUCCUUACCUACCCUACCAGCCCAACUUACCCCCUCCUCACCCAGCCAACUUAACCCCUCCAUCACCUACCUCACCAGCCCAACUUAACCCCCCUCACCUACCUACCAGCCCAACUUACCCCCUCCUCACCAGCCCAACUUAA